rnacentral:rRNA from 1 species
UUGACCUCGAAUCAGGUAGGAAUACCCGCUGAACUUAAGCAUAUCAAUAAGCGGAGGAAAAGAAACCAACAGGGAUUGCCCCAGUAACGGCGAGUGAAGCGGCAACAGCUCAAAUUUGAAAUCUGGCUCUCGGGCCCGAGUUGUAAUUUGUAGAGGAUGCUUUUGGUGAGGUGCCUUCCGAGUUCCCUGGAACGGGACGCCAUAGAGGGUGAGAGCCCCGUCUGGUUGGACACCGAUCCUCUGUAAAGCUCCUUCGACGAGUCGAGUAGUUUGGGAAUGCUGCUCUAAAUGGGAGGUAUAUGUCUUCUAAAGCUAAAUACCGGCCAGAGACCGAUAGCGCACAAGUAGAGUGAUCGAAAGAUGAAAAGAACUUUGAAAAGAGAGUUAAACAGUACGUGAAAUUGUUGAAAGGGAAGCGCUUGUGACCAGACUUGGGCUUGGUUGAUCAUCCGGGGUUCUCCCCGGUGCACUCUUCCGGCUCAGGCCAGCAUCAGUUCGCCCUGGGGGAUAAAGGCUUCGGGAAUGUGGCUCUCUCCGGGGAGUGUUA